rnacentral:rRNA from 1 species
UAAGCAUAUCAAUAAGCGGAGGAAAAGAAACUAACAAGGAUUCCCCUAGUAACGGCGAGUGAAGCGGGAACAGCUCAAAUUUGUAAUCUGGCGGCCUUCGGUCGUCCGAGUUGUAAUCUGGAGAAGCGUUUUCAGUGCCGGCCCGCGUACAAGUCCCCUGGAACGGGGCGUCGCAGAGGGUGAGAAUCCCGUCUCUGACGCGGUCGUGCCGGCACGUUGCGAUGCGCUCUCGAAGAGUCGAGUUGUUUGGGAAUGCAGCUCAAAACGGGUGGUAAAUUCCAUCUAAAGCUAAAUACUGGCGAAAGACCGAUAGCGAACAAGUACCGUGAGGGAAAGAUGAAAAGCACUUUGGAAAGAGAGUCAAACAGUACGUGAAAUUGUUGAAAGGGAAACGCUUGAAGUCAGUCGCGUCUCUCGGGACUCAGUCGCGCCGUCAAAGGCGCGGCGUACUUCCCGGGUCUGGACGGGCCAGCGUCGAUUUCGACCGUCGUACAAAGGCGUGAGGAACGUGGCACCUUCGGGUGUGUUAUAGCCUCGCGUCCCGUAUGCGACGGUGGGGAUCGAGGAUUGCAGCGCGCCGUUUUAACGGUCGGGGUUCGCCCACGUAACGCGCUUGGGAUGCUGGCUUAAUGGCUUCAAGCGACCCGUCUUGAAACACGGACCAAGGAGUCUAACAUGCUCGCGAGUGU